rnacentral:rRNA from 1 species
CAUGCAAGUCGAGCGGUAAGGCCUUUCGGGGUACACGAGCGGCGAACGGGUGAGUAACACGUGGGUGAUCUGCCCUGCACUUCGGGAUAAGCCUGGGAAACUGGGUCUAAUACCGGAUAUGACCUCCUAUCGCAUGGUGGGUGGUGGAAAGAUUUAUCGGUGCAGGAUGGGCCCGCGGCCUAUCAGCUUGUUGGUGGGGUAAUGGCCUACCAAGGCGACGACGGGUAGCCGACCUGAGAGGGUGACCGGCCACACUGGGACUGAGACACGGCCCAGACUCCUACGGGAGGCAGCAGUGGGGAAUAUUGCACAAUGGGCGAAAGCCUGAUGCAGCGACGCCGCGUGAGGGAUGACGGCCUUCGGGUUGUAAACCUCUUUCAGCAGGGACGAAGCGCAAGUGACGGUACCUGCAGAAGAAGCACCGGCUAACUACGUGCCAGCAGCCGCGGUAAUACGUAGGGUGCAAGCGUUGUCCGGAAUUACUGGGCGUAAAGAGUUCGUAGGCGGUUUGUCGCGUCGUUUGUGAAAACCAGCAGCUCAACUGCUGGCUUGCAGGCGAUACGGGCAGACUUGAGUACUGCAGGGGAGACUGGAAUUCCUGGUGUAGCGGUGAAAUGCGCAGAUAUCAGGAGGAACACCGGUGGCGAAGGCGGGUCUCUGGGCAGUAACUGACGCUGAGGAACGAAAGCGUGGGUAGCGAACAGGAUUAGAUAC